AGUUCAGAUCGCAGGCUGCAACCCGCCUGCAUGAAGUCGGAAUUGCUAGUAAUCGCGGAUCAGCAUGCCGCGGUGAAUACGUUCCCGGGCCUUGUACACACCGCCCGUCACACCAUGGGAGCCGGUAAUACCCGAAGUCAGUAGUCCAACCACGUGAGGACGCUGCCGAAGGUAGGAUUGGCGACUGGGGUGAAGUCGUAACAAGGUAAC
rnacentral:rRNA from 1 species